rnacentral:rRNA from 1 species
GAUGAACGCUGGCGGCGUGCUUAACACAUGCAAGUCGAACGAUGAAGCCCAGCUUGCUGGGUGGAUUAGUGGCGAACGGGUGAGUAACACGUGAGUAACCUGCCCUUAACUCUGGGAUAAGCCUGGGAAACUGGGUCUAAUACCGGAUAGGAGCGCCUACCGCAUGGUGGGUGUUGGAAAGAUUUAUCGGUUUUGGAUGGACUCGCGGCCUAUCAGCUUGUUGGUGAGGUAAUGGCUCACCAAGGCGACGACGGGUAGCCGGCCUGAGAGGGUGACCGGCCACACUGGGACUGAGACACGGCCCAGACUCCUACGGGAGGCAGCAGUGGGGAAUAUUGCACAAUGGGCGAAAGCCUGAUGCAGCGACGCCGCGUGAGGGAUGACGGCCUUUGGGUUGUAAACCUCUUUCAGUAGGGAAGAAGCGAAAGUGACGGUACCUGCAGAAGAAGCACCGGCUAACUACGUG